UCUUACGUUUGUCUGGUUUAUUACUGUAUUUAACAAAUCAUCAAUCAAAAAAUUAUCUGCAUUAGAAAAAUAUAUGACCAGCCUGUACAAGCGUACCGUUGAUCAAAAUUUUGAUUUGAUUUUCUGCUUUCAAAUAUAAAGAAAAUCGACAAUGUUUCAGGAAUGCGUGCUGGUCCUGUUAUCUUGUUCAUUCAUUGAUGCUUCAUCCUCCACAUUAUUUCUUACUGUGAGCAAAACAACUUCUCCUGGUGUUUACAUUCUGGAAACACAGGUAGUGCAAACACUACCAGACUUCUUCGGCUACCGAUACACAUUCCAAAAUGUCGCAACUCUCGGAGACCCGAACUCCACCCGAGUGUUCGAAAGAGUCG